rnacentral:lncRNA from 1 species
AGUUGGGGAGACGUCAUGAGGGGAGGAAAGGCCGAGGAGUGGGGGAGAUGUCAUGAAGGGAGGAAAGGCCGAGGAGUGGGGAAGAUGUCAUGAGGGGAGGAAAGGCUGAGGAGUAGGGGUAGACGUCAUGAGGGGAGGAAAGGCUGAGGAGUAGGGGCGGAUGUCAUGAGGGGAGGAAAGGCUGAGGAGUGGGGGAGAUGUCAUGAGGGGAGGAAAGGCUGAGGAGUAGGGGGAGAUGUCAUGAGGGGAGGAAAGGCUGAGGAGUAGGGGAAGAUGUCAUGAAGGGAGGAAAGGCUGAGGAGUGGGGGAGAUGUCAUGAGGGGAGGAAAGGCUGAGGAGUAGAGGAGAUGUUAUGAGGGGAGGAAAGGCUGAGGAAUGGGGGAGAUGUCAUGGGGGGAGAUGUCAUGGGGGGAGGAAAGGCUGAGGAGUGGGGGAGAUGUCAUGAGGGGAGGAAAGGCUGAGGAGUGGGGGAGAUGUC